rnacentral:rRNA from 1 species
AACGAACGCUGGCGGCAGGCUUAACACAUGCAAGUCGAGCGCCCCGCAAGGGGAGCGGCAGACGGGUGAGUAACGCGUGGGAAUCUACCCAUCUCUACGGAAUAACGCAUGGAAUCGUGUGCUAAUACCGUAUACGUCCUUCGGGAGAAAGAUUUAUCGGAGAUGGAUGAGCCCGCGUUGGAUUAGCUAGUUGGUGGGGUAAAGGCCUACCAAGGCGACGAUCCAUAGCUGGUCUGAGAGGAUGAUCAGCCACACUGGGACUGAGACACGGCCCAGACUCCUACGGGAGGCAGCAGUGGGGAAUAUUGGACAAUGGGCGCAAGCCUGAUCCAGCCAUGCCGCGUGAGUGAUGAAGGCCCUAGGGUUGUAAAGCUCUUUCACCGGUGAAGAUAAUGACGGUAACCGGAGAAGAGGCCCCGGCUAACUUCGUGCCAGCCGCCGCAGUAAGAC